rnacentral:other from 1 species
GAACUCUUACAGCAAUUAAAUCAACUCCACUCAUUGAAAAAACCGAGUUCUG